ensembl:lincRNA predicted gene 14461
AUCAUAAUCAUGUGCAAAGACAACAGCACGGACCCACAUCAUCUCUGGCAGCAGCCUGGGAAGUGUCUUUCAUCUUUGAGAAACCUUAACUCAUGUGAAACUGUGUCCUUGGUUCUCCUGGAGAGACGAAUUUCAGGAUGAUCCAGUAUAAAAGAGAGGCGGUUUUUAUUAAAAGGUAUGCUUUUGUAACAUCAAUUUUAAGAAGGCAGAUCAAGAACGAGUGAAAUUGAAACACACCUCAGAGGUCUGGUAUGGCUAGUGAAGUGUGUGGCAUAUCUCAUUGAAAGAUCUUGAAGCUUUUACUGCUUUUAAGGGUCCAUUUCCCCCUCCUUUAUUUCUUUUCUUUUCCACAGUUGAGUUUAUAGGCUCUAGAACUACCUUGAAUGAGAUUAUAACCCAACAAGACAAAACCAGAGUUUGUUAAGGUAAAACUGGAAUUGCCCAUCAUGGUCAGGACUUAGCCUUUUCUAAACACAAAGAUGAUUCUAGUGAGACUACUAGAAGAUUACAGAGUGACAGCUGGGUAGGGAGAAAUGUCUUAAAUAAAUAUGAAUUGUGCUAGAAUUUUGAUUCUAAGCUGGAGAGAGAAAGACCUCAACUAGACUCUGGAGUUGAACCAAACUGGUGGUAUCUGGAAUGGAUGCAUGUCUUCAUCAUUCUGGCGUCUUAGCUUAGCUCAUCCACAUCCUUCAAAUGCUACCCACCAUGUGAGAGAGAGAAACACACCGAAGAAUUCCUGGUGGUAUUCCAGCUGGUUCUUCUCACCACUUCUGAGGAUCCUUGAGGUUUCUGCUAGAUUGAACCACUGCUAUUUGCUAUUGGACUAGACUGCUGAUAUCCUGACAACAAAGAUUGGAACCACCUCCCAAAACUACUUAUAAGACUGAAAGGUAUGAAGAUCUGUGGCAAGAGGCAUGUCAGAGAAUAAACCGAAGAAUUCUGUGAUUUUGUAGUAUUAGAUCUUCUUUCCUGUCAAAUCUGUCACUUGUGCCCUGACUGUGGCUGGGAUGAAGAGAACAAGAUGGAAAUAAAGAUAUGGAAUGCAGUGUACACUAUGUGUUUCUGCACUAACUUCCUGAAUGACUUCCUGGAUUGUGUUGCUGGAGAUGGCUCUCUGUGGACUCCUGCAUCAGUGUUUCCCUGGCAUGGGGGCAUAGCAGUCCUAGUGGUAUGUUUCUUGUGCUGUCCCAGCCUACAGGAUUUAAUUAUGUGUGAAGAGUUGAAACUGGAUUAUUUCUUGUUUCUUGAUUGUUGCAUGUUUCAGGCUUUGAUCCUUAGCCUACCUGCUAUCUACAGACGUCCUUACAUUUCCGGGAUCAUCUCAAAUGCUUUUCUUUCUAUAAAAUAUUUGUCCUAUAAGUGAUCCUUGGUUGAUUUUCUUACAUCACUAGCUUCUUCUAGCUAGCAUUGGAGUUAUUUGUGUCCUUAUUUCAUUUUCAUAUGGAAACUAUAAACUCUGAAGAAAGGGAAAAGUGUAACAAAUUUAUGUGCUGAUUACUUAUUCACUUAAAAGUAUUGGUUUUCCUUAAGCUAUGGACGAGAACUGAGUUACUAGGGACAUUCAACAAACAUGAGGUGGAUUCUACCAAAUGCUGUUAUAACAU